GGAGGGACUGGCAUCUCUUCCUGACAUCUCACCCCCAUUCCAGGAGACCCUGGAGCAGGAAUCCCAGAGAACUCAGCAGGAGACUUUCAGAGGAGCAUUUAUUUGGCAAAGUAACAGGCGCUGGUGCAAAGGCCUUCUCUGGAUCUUUAGAAGUCAACCUUGAACAUGGGUCCCUGCUGCCUCUGAGUGCUUAUAGGUAAGUCCCGCCAGAAGGCAGGGGCACACAGAGCCCGGCCUUCUCCAGACCUGACACCAGGCUUCUCCUGCUUCCCUGCCCCGAACCAGAGUCCCAGAGUCCUGGUAAUUGGUCAGGCUAGUUGUGGUUUGAAGGUGUGGGGAGCCAGCUACUGGGCUUCC
ensembl:lncRNA